rnacentral:lncRNA from 1 species
UGGAGACAUGCUACUGGAUUCACAAUGCAGAUGCCAGAAAAAUAACUUUUGCAGGUCAUCAGAAUAUGCACACCAAGUGUUUGACAUAUUGUUUUAUCCAAUUCCAUAUGACAAUAUGCACAAUAGGAUCAUAUUCAGAAAGGACAGAGUUCAAACUUGAAUUGACAAGAUCAUCGAAUUUCUUGGUGCUCUUCUCAUCGAACAAACACAUGAAUCUUCAAGAAUAUAGAGUCCAAACUUCCAAGGAAACUGGAUGAGUACAGUACAUAACCUGUUGGCCGAACUCCAAGAUGUAAGACUUGAUUCGAACUUGAACCUUCGACCAAGGAACAUAGAACUUUUGCCAACAAAUUGAUCUUGGGAUGAAGCUGACCAAUGCACUGAACUAGCCGAAACUCACCAGAAAAUUGUAACAGUCAAAGCAGCCCGAAGAAUUGAGACUAAAAUCGAGCAUCUCCAAAGAAAAGCACCAAGAAACCGGGCAAAACUUUGCACAAAACUGCUUGAACAAUGCAUAUGAUCUCUUAACAUUUUCAAAUCUGCCAAGAGAUGAAAAACUUGGAAUUUUCAAGGACAUUGCUAAAUUAAUCUGAUCGGUCUUCGACCAACCUUUAAGA